rnacentral:misc_RNA from 1 species
UGCGGCUGGAUCCCCUCCUUUCUGGAGAUGUCGACCAAGCCAGCAGAGUGGAGCAAUCCACCUACGCUGAGGCUUCGGUGGACAAGCCUUGGUUUAAGGUCCGCUAUCAAUCCUGUUUAUUCGAGAUAUUGAAAAGAGCUGAAAGCCGAAAGCGAAAAAAGCUUAAAGCAAGAGGCCAAAAAGCUGCAAAGUCAGACAUCGGUUACAAGCGAAAGCUUAGAGCUUUAAGCUAAAGGCUUUGAGCUUUAAAGAAGAGGGCUUGUAGCUCAGGUGGUUAGAGCGCUACACUGAUAAUGUAGAGGUCCGUGGUUCGAGUCCACGCAGGCCCACCCUUCGACUUCGCUCAGGGCAGGCGUCCGGGCAGGUCGAAUUAAACAAGGGGGAUUAGCUCAGCUGGCUAGAGCACCUGCUUUGCAAGCAGGGGGUCAUCGGUUCGAAUCCGAUAUUCUCCACGGAAAGGGGAGAGAAAGGUUUAGAGCCAUAGAGGUUCGAACCUGUGCUGACCGAGCGGGAGCGAGCGUCAGCAUCCGAUAUUCUCCACAGAGAAUGGGAGUGAGUAAUGGUAGAUAUUAUUGAGACCAAUCAAACGAGAUUGGAGGAUAGAUUGAAAGAUUGAAGAGGUUAUAGCGGUAGGGACUAUGGACUAAGGUCUAAGGACUAUUGACUACUAAUCGCGUUGUUAGAUGUUAUGCCUCCAGGCGGAACGAGCCGUUCCAAAGAUGCAGGGGUAACUAUUACUGACAAAGAGUUCAUUGACAUACUGAAGAAAGAGUAGAAAAAAUACUAGAGAUAGUAUAGUAAAGCGAG